UUAGCAGUAGUAUAAUUAGUAUAUCUUCCUUCCAAGAAGAGGGUCCAAAGAUUUGGCUGCUAAA
rnacentral:tRNA from 1 species